rnacentral:lncRNA from 1 species
UAGAAGUGGACCACCGGCAACCUGUGCAGGUGGUCAGAUCAGGAUUAGAAUACAUUUUCAGGGUAAUGUGGUUAUACCAACUCAUCAGCUUUUACUUGGUUAUGAUUUGCUCAGUACUAAUUCCCAAAGUUUGCUGCCCUCAAAUUACAAGAUUAGUUUCUCUCUCUUUUUUUUUUUUCUCCUUACAGUUGUGCUGCUCAUUCAGGUGAAGACUACCACUCUGCUUUAUUUCCUAUUUUCAUUGUUAAACAAAAGUUUAAUAUGCAGCAGCACAAAGGAUAGAGAAAUGGGGCAUGUCACAGAAGAAUAGUAUCUGAAAGCUUUUCUCACAAAUCCUUUGGGAAAGACAGGAUGAUGAUGCAUCAGGCCAACAUAUAUACUGUUUUAU